rnacentral:rRNA from 1 species
AUUGAACGCUGGCGGCAGGCCUAACACAUGCAAGUCGAGCGGAGCGGCGGACGGGUGAGUAAUGCCUAGGACUCUGCCUGUUAGUGGGGGAUAACGUCCAGAAACGGGAGCUAAUACUGCAUACUCUCAGAUGAGGCUGGGUCGGAUUAGCUUGUUGGUGGGGUAAAGGCCUACCAAGGCGACGAUCCGUACCUGGUCUGAGAGGAUGAUCAGUCACACUGGAACUGAGAAACGGUCCAGACUCCUACGGUAGGCAGAAGUGGGGAAUAUUGGACAAUGGGCGAAAGCCUGAUCCAGCCAUGCCGCGUGUGUGAAGAAGGUCUUCGGAUUGUAAAGCACUUUAAGUUGGGAGGCGUUACCAACAGAAUAAGCACCGGCUAACUUCGUGCCAGCAGCCGCGGUAAUUC